GACACGUCCAAAAAGAAGGAAAGGACACCUCGCCAAUCAGGGUACUAUGUGAGCAGAUGCCAGGACUUGGCGUAAACAUCUUGGAGACCUCGUCAAACCCGGCACCUCCAAGUCCACAUCAUCCACCUCCGCAAAGCUCUUGCCAAGCUGGUGGGUUUGUACCAACUGUAGGGAGAUGCCAACACAACAGGACAGGUCAUGCUGCAAACAAAGGCCGGAUGAAUGCUUCUCAAACUUGGCAAUCUUGAGGCACCUUGUUCUGGACCACCAUUAGAGUUGGC